UACGUAGGGUGCGAGCGUUGUCCGGAAUUAUUGGGCGUAAAGGGCUCGUAGGCGGUUUGUCGCGUCGGGAGUGAAAACCUUGGGCUUAACUCAGGGCUUGCUUUCGAUACGGGCAGACUAGAGGUAUGCAGGGGAGAACGGAAUUCCUGGUGUAGCGGUGAAAUGCGUAGAUAUCGGAAGGAACACCAGUGGCGAAGGCGGCUUCCUGGACUAAUACUGACGCUGAGGUGCGAAAGCGUGGGGAGCAAACAGG
rnacentral:rRNA from 1 species